UGGGGAAUAUUGGGCAAUGGGGGCAACCCUGACCCAGCAACGCCGCGUGAAGGAAGAAGGCCUUCGGGUUGUAAACUUCUUUGACCAGGGACGAAGAACGUGACGGUACCUGGAAAACAAGCCACGGCUAACUACGUGCCAGCAGCCGCGGUAAUACGUAGGUGGCAAGCGUUGUCCGGAUUUACUGGGUGUAAAGGGCGCGUAGGCGGGACUGCAAGUCAGAUGUGAAAUGCUGGGGCUUAACCCUGGAACUGCAUUUGAAACUGUGGUUCUUGAGUAUCGGAGAGGCAGGCGGAAUUCCUAGUGUAGCGGUGAAAUGCGUAGAUAUUAGGAGGAACACCAGUGGCGAAGGCGGCCUGCUGGACGACAACUGACGCUGAGGCGCGAAAGCGUGGGGAGCAAACAGG
rnacentral:rRNA from 2 species